GUUUACCAAAAACAUGGCUUCUUGAAAUGAAUAAAAUAGGGAGUCGGACCUGCCCAGUGAAAGUUUUAAACGGCCGCGGUACCCUGACCGUGCAAAGGUAGCAUAAUCAUUUGCCUUAUAAUUGAAGGCUAGUAUGAAUGGUUUGACAAGAGCAAAACUGUCUCUUUAUAAUUAAUUAGAAUUUUAUUUUAAGGUGAAGAAGCCUUAGUGAAAUUAAAAGACAAGAAGACCCUAUCGAGCUUUAAAAAAAUUUGUAGAAAUUAAUUAGUAAUUGAUUUAGAUAAAAUAUUGACUACUAAACAUUUUAGUUGGGGCGACUAAGGAACAAAAAAAGCUUCCUUUCAAUAGUAUAACAUAUAAGUAUUGAUCCAAAAUUUUUGGUUAAAAAAAUUAGUUACCGUAGGGAUAACAGCAUUAUCUUUUUUGAGAGUUCUUAUCGAAAAGAAGGUUUGUGACCUCGAUGUUGGACCAGAAUAUCCCAAAGAUGCAGAAGUCUUUAAAGGUUGGUCUGUUCGACCAUUAAAAUUCUACGUGAUCUGAGUUCAGACCGG
rnacentral:rRNA from 1 species